rnacentral:rRNA from 1 species
AGCUAUUUAGGUGACACUAUAGAAUACUCAAGCUAUGCAUCCAACGCGUUGGGAGCUCUCCCAUAUGGUCGACCUGCAGGCGGCCGCGAAUUCACUAGUGAUUAGAGUUUGAUCAUGGCUCAGAACGUACGCUGGCGGCACGCCUAACACAUGCAAGUCGAACGAAGUAGCAAUACUUAGUGGCAGACGGGUGAGUAACAUGUAGGUAUCUGCCCUUUGGCCUGGAAUAACACGAGGAAACUUGUGCUAAUACCGGAUAAGUCUUUACGGAGAAAGCUUUAUGCACCAUUGGAUGAGCCUGCACUUGAUUAGUUUGUUGGUGGGGUAAUGGCCUACCAAGACUGUGAUCAAUAGCUGAUUUGAGAGGAUGAUCAGCCACAUUGGGACUGAGACACGGCCCAAACUCCUACGGGAGGCAGCAGUGGGGAAUCUUGCACAAUGGAGGAAACUCUGAUGCAGCGAUGCCGCGUGAGUGAAGAAGGCCUUUGGGUUGUAAAGCUCUUUCGUCGGGGAAGAAAAUGACUGUACCCGAAUAAGAAGGUCCGGCUAACUUCGUGCCAGCAGCCGCGGUAAUACGAAGGGACCUAGCGUAGUUCGGAAUUACUGGGCUUAAAGAGUUCGUAGGUGGUUGAAAAAGUUAGUGGUGAAAUCCCAGAGCUUAACUCUGGAACUGCCAUUAAAACUUUUCAGCUAGAGUAUGAUAGAGGAAAGCAGAAUUUCUAGUGUAGAGGUGAAAUUCGUAGAUAUUAGAAAGAAUACCAAUUGCGAAGGCAGCUUUCUGGAUCAUUACUGACACUGAGGAACGAAAGCAUGGGUAGCGAAGAGGAUUAGAUACCCUCGUAGUCCAUGCCGUAAACGAUGUGUGUUAGACGUUGGAAAUUUAUUUUCAGUGUCGCAGCGAAAGCGAUAAACAC